rnacentral:rRNA from 1 species
AUUGAACGCUGGCGGCAGGCCUAACACAUGCAAGUCGAGCGAGCGGCGGACGGGUGAGUAAUGUCUGGGAAACUGCCUGAUGGAGGGGGAUAACUACUGGAAACGUUAGCUAAUACCGCAUACCAUCAGAUGUGCUCAGAUGGGAUUAGCCAGUGGGUGGGGUAACGGCUCACCUAGGCGACGAUCCCUAGCUGGUCUGAGAGGAUGACCAGCCACAUGGGGACUGGGCCACGGUCCAGACUCCUACGGGAGGCAGCAGUAGGGAAUAUUGCACAAUGGGCGCAAGCCUGAUGCAGCCAUGCCGCGUGUGUGAAGAAGGCCUUCGGGUUGUAAAGCACUUGCAGCGGGGAGGCGUUAACCGCAGAAGAAGCACCGGCUAACUCCGUGCCAGCAGCCGCGGUAAUAC